AGCUCCAAUAGCAUAUAUUAAAGUUGUUGCAGUUAAAAAGCUCGUAGUUGGAUUUCUGGCAUGAUGCGCCUGGCCCGCCUCGAUUACGAGUGUGUGUGCGAGCGCGCGUCUGCCAUCCAUUUGCAGAAUGUAUCUACCCUUCAUUGGGCCGGAUACGUGAUGUAAAUCUUUUACUUUGAAAAAAUUAGAGUGUUUAAAGCAGGCAUUUGCUAUGAAUACAUUAGCAUGGAAUAAUAAUCUAGGACUUCGGUUCUAUUUUGUUGGUUUCUAGAUCUGAAGUAAUGAUUGAUAGGGAUAGUUGGGGGUGCUAGUAUUAAGGGGCCAGAGGUGAAAUUCUUGGAUUCUCUUAAGACUAACUUAUGCGAAAGCAUUCACCAAGGAUGUCUUCUUUAAUCAAGAA
rnacentral:rRNA from 1 species